CUAAAUCCCUGGCCCAUGUUCUCUGUAUCAUUUGGAGGUCUUCUAUGAAGAUAAUUGGACGGAGGACUCAAAGAAACAGUGGUUUGGAGAUAAAUCUCUGGUUGUGGAACAAGUCUAGGCUGCAAGGACAUCUGAGGGGUCAUGACCAGGGCUGCUCUCUGGCAGACACCCAAAGAUUCCUCCGUGAAAGGCCUGUCUGUCAUCCCUGCCUUGGAGUCAGCCGAUCAUGAACUGGAACCUCUACGAACGACCAAAACUAGAAAGGUAACAAGGCUAAAAGAAUAGCCAGUAUUUUGGCCCUGGCCCUCCAAGAUCAACAAAGAUCCAGGACAUGAGGGAACCUUUUCUACAGGAUCCAACAACUUUGGUGAGUCACCCAACCUACUGAGCAGGGAGAUUAUUGGACCCCAGAGGACAAGAAUCAAAAAAAUGCACAGUGCGCCAGAGGAGGGUCACCAAAAGGGAAAAGUCUCCCAUGCUUUCAUAGAAAGCAACAUGGUCAAGCAAGGAUGUGACCCAUUCUGAGAGCUGACACAAAGAGAGGAGCUGAGAGACUCUAUGCAUGGUUCCAAAGUAAUAUCUAAGGAGACUUGGCUGACCUGAUAGAUAACAAGGGGUUGAUUUUGAUUAACACAGGUCUCAUUUCACCUUGGCUUUAAACACCCAGCAGAAAAAUAUAACCAAAAGACAUAUAAAAACUGUCCAGCCUAGCCUAAGUUAGUCCUUCACAAACAAAUGUGACAAAGCAAACAGGCUGCUUUUAGCAAACAACAGCAGUUUUUCAGCAAAUAGGGCAAAUAGACUCAAAAUAUAGUUUACAACCCCUUGGCACUGAGAAGUCCAGUAAUUGUGUACCUACCUGAGCAGACCAUCACUGGGUAUCCAAGUCAUAAGCAUUUCACCCCAGAUUCCUUAGCCCCUUAAUACCUAUAUAAGCCUGAUUCCUUUCGCAGUUAGCUGCUGAUACCUCUUUCCCCUGGUGUUAGCCCAUCCUCUCAGGGAUGAAAUCUCUCCCAGCCAGCUGCCAUUAUCUCUCUCCCAAGUUCAGCCCAUCUACACACAAUGCUGCCAGAAUCUCCUGAUUUUAGUCCUUGUCGACUGGAAUAAACUUUCCUUUCAAAAGCCUAUUUUUGACAAGUGGAUUCUUUAUAACAAAAACAAUAAUAAAAGAGGCCCCAACUGAUGACUCCUUCUGGCAGUUUCCGACUACACCAGUAGCUGACCAAUGUUAGGGUUCAGUGAGGCUAAAAACUAUGGUAGAAGCUACAAAAGUUCAACCAAAGACUUUAAGUGCUUUAGUUACAAUUGUCCUUCAAAACCACCAAACUCCAUCUUCUUACAGCUAAAACUAGAGACUUAUGACAAGAAAUAUCAGGCUUAUAGAUAACCUCCAUCAGUAGAGGGCUCUAAGAGCCAACUGGUAUAAUCCCUGUUUCAGUCCCUUAAGAGGAGUUUCAGGACAUUGCCCUUUCCCCACCCUGCCUUUCCAUUCUAGGGUUCAUGCUUUGAUUAUACAUGCUCUAAUUUCUUGGAAAAUUUGCUUAUUCUUGCCUAGACGCUGGCAAACUCCAAAUAAUCAUGCAAUGGAACCGAGGACAAAUUUGCCAGAUUCCUUUUACCGAGAUCCACUAGAUCGACCUUGUGAAGGGAGUUCCCAUCUGCUAAACUGCAACUUGACUUCUAGCCAAGCCCAUUAGUUUAGCUGUCUAGAGAAAGCCCCUAACUGCUGUCUCCCCUACAGUGACCCUUCUCAACUCGAAACAGCUAGAUAAAAACGAUGCCCCUUUUCCC